UACGUAGGGGGCAAGCGUUGUCCGGAAUCAUUGGGCGUAAAGAGCGUGUAGGCGGCCCGGUAAGUCCGCCGUGAAAGUCCAGGGCUCAACCCUGGAAUGCCGGUGGAUACUGUCGGGCUAGAGUCCGGAAGGGGCGAGUGGAAUUCCUGGUGUAGCGGUGAAAUGCGCAGAUAUCAGGAGGAACACCAAUGGCGAAGGCAGCUCGCUGGGACGGUACUGACGCUGAGACGCGAAAGCGUGGGGAGCAAACAGG
rnacentral:rRNA from 1 species